UUAAAGGAAUUGACGGGGAGCACCACAACGGGUGGAGCUUGCGGUUUAAUUGGAUUCAACGCCGGAAAUCUUACCGGGACCGACAGCAAUAUGAAGGCCAGGCUGAAGACUUUGCCGGAUUAGCUGAGAGGUGGUGCAUGGCCGUCGUCAGUUCGUACUGUGAAGCAUCCUGUUAAGUCAGGCAACGAGCGAGACCCACGCCCACAGUUGCCAGCGUACUCUCUGGAGUGACGGGUACACUGUGGGGACCGCCGCUGCUAAAGCGGAGGAAGGAAUGGGCAACGGUAGGUCAGUAUGCCCCGAAUAUCCCGGGCUACACGCGAGCUACAAUGGUUGGUACAAUGGGUAUCUACCCCGAAAGGGGACGGGAAUCUCCUAAAACCAAUCUUAGUUCGGAUUGAGGGCUGCAACUCGCCCUCAUGAAGCUGGAAUCCGUAGUAAUCGCGUUUCAACAGAACGCGGUGAAUACGUCCCUGCUCCUU
rnacentral:rRNA from 1 species